rnacentral:rRNA from 1 species
GGGUCAGUAGGUUGGUCGUGCCACCGGUACGUACUGGUCUCACUGAUUCCUCCUUCCUGAAGAACCGUAAUGCCAUUAAUUUGGUGUCGCGGGGAAACAGGACUGUUACUUUGAAAAAAUUAGAGUGUUUAAAGCAAGCUAACGCUUGAAUACGUUAGCAUGGAAUAAUGAAAUAGGACGAUCGAUCCUAUUUUGUUGGUUUCUAGGAUUGACGUA